rnacentral:rRNA from 1 species
GGCGUAAGAGCUCGUAGGCGGUUUGUCGCGUCUGUCGUGAAAGUCCGGCGCUUAACCCCGGAUCUGCGGUGGGUACGGGCAGACUAGAGUGCANUAGGGGAGACUGGAAUUCCUGGUGUAGCGGUGGAAUGCGCAGAUAUCAGGAGGAACACCGAUGGCGAAGGCAGGUCUCUGGGCUGUAACUGACGCUGAGGAGCGAAAGCAUGGGGAGCGAACAGGAUUAGAUACCCUGGUAGUCCAUGCCGUAAACGUUGGGCACUAGGUGUGGGGACCAUUCCACGGUUUCCGCGCCGCAGCUAACGCAUUAAGUGCCCCGCCUGGGGAGUACGGCCGCAAGGCUAAAACUCAAAGGAAUUGACGGGGGCCCGCACAAGCGGCGGAGCAUGCGGAUUAAUUCGAUGCAACGCGAAGAACCUUACCAAGGCUUGACAUGUUCUCGAUCGCCGUANAGAUACGGUUUCCCCUUUGGGGCGGGUUCACAGGUGGUGCAUGGUUGUCGUCAGCUCGUGUCGUGAGAUGUUGGGUUAAGUCCCGCAACGAGCGCAACCCUCGUUCCAUGUUGCCAGCACGUAAUGGUGGGGACUCAUGGGAGACUGCCGGGGUCAACUCGGAGGAAGGUGAGGACGACGUCAAAUCAUCAUGCCNCUUAUGUCUUGGGCUUCACGCAUGCUACAAUGGCCGGUACAAUGGGNUUGCGAUACUGUNAGGUGGAGCUAAUCCCAAAAAGCCGGUCUCAGUUCGGAUUGGGGUCUGCAACUCGACCCCCNUGAAGUCCGANUCGCUAGUAAUCNNAGAUCAUCAACGCUGCNGU